CUACGGGGGGCACCAGUGGGGAAUAUUGCACAAUGGAGGAAACUCUGAUGCAGCAACGCCGCGUGGAGGAAGACACUUUUCGGAGCGUAAACUCCUUUUAUAUAGGAAGAAGAUGACGGUACUAUAUGAAUAAGCGCCGGCUAACUCCGUGCCAGCAGCCGCGGUAAUACGGAGGGCGCAAGCGUUACGGGAAUCACUGGGCGUAAAGAGCGUGUAGGCGGAUUAAAAAGUCAGAAGUGAAAUCCUAUAGCUUAACUAUAGAACUGCUUCUGAAACUCUUAAUCUAGAAUAUGGGAGAGGUAGAUGGAAUUUCUGGUGUAGGGGUAAAAUCCGUAGAGAUCAGAAGGAAUACCGAUUGCGAAGGCGAUCUACUAGAACAUUAUUGACGCUGAGACGCGAAAGCGUGGGGAGCAAACAGGAUUAGAUACCCGAGUAGUC
rnacentral:rRNA from 1 species